AAAAAAAAAAAAAAAAAAGUCUAAUGAGAAUGAAUGAUAGAUUUUUACCUCAUCCUACAUUCUGUCUCUCUAUUGUCUCACUUAUUCCUUAGUUUACAACAAUUUGACAGAUUAAAGCGCUAAUAGUGUGCAUUAUAAAUUAAAGACUUUGGUAAAGAAGCACUUUUUUGUGAAGUUGGUAAUACUUAAAAUUGAAAUGACGAUUCAUGUAGAAGUUAUUAAAUAUCAAAGACUAUGGUAAUUGAUAGCCUUAUUUUAAACUAGACAUUUUGGUAAGGCCUAUAACCGAGACCAUAUCACGGUCAUUAAUUAAACUUACAUGGCCAUAAUAUUUUGACAUCUAGUAUAGCAUUACUUGAGGAUUUAGUCUAUGCAGGCCGGAUGUGGAGCGGAUGUCCGCACCGGCCUUAAAGUGCGGACGUCCGUCCGUUCUCCACCCUUCAGCGCUGGCGAUGGUGCGCCUCCACCCCAUAAGACUCCAGCAGCGUCCCUGACCACUUUCCCUCCCCAGCGAGUCCAUUCUUUUCCAGUUUUCCAGCGAGAUCACCCAAAACUUCAAACAAAGUCGAUCUCACAUGAAAAAUGGAAAAAAACGGACUCACCAGGGAGGGAAAGUGGUCGGGGACGCUGGUGGAGUCUUCUGGGGUGGAGGCGCGCCGUCGCCGGCACCGGAAGGUGAAGAACGGAUGGACGUCCGCACUCAGGGACGUCCGCACUUUAAGCUGAGUGCGGACGUCCGCUUCACAUCCCUGCUUUUAGUCUAUGUAUCGUGACAAAUAAUGAAACUUAAGUUGACUUAAUUUUCUCCACAAAUUCCUCAAUGUUCCUAUCAGAGCUUCCGCCAUCAUCCACUGCUUCUCUAGCCAAUUCCUUCCAAACUAGUGCAGCUUUUCUAAACUCCAUCCCUGUGUCUUUGUCCAUGACUUGCCUAAUACAUGCACUUAUUUCUUCUUUCAGCACAGAGCCCUCGUUGACCUUUACCUUAACUCCUACCUUCCACACAUCCUUAACAUAUUUAGCAACAGUUGGAUGAUCGGCUCGAUGUGGCAUUCCCACCAUUGGUACCCCCAAGCUCAACGCUUCAAGAGUCGAAUUCCAUCCACAGUGAGUAAGAAAGCAUCCCACAGCCUUGUGAGAUAAAACUUGUAACUGUUUGCACCAAGUCACCACUAGACCCUUCUCCGCUAUCUGGUUUUCAAAAUUUGUGGGAAGCUUUUCCUUUUCUGAUUCUCUGACUACCCAUAAGAAGUUGUGGUAGCUAUUACAUAGACCCCAUGCUAGUUCUUCAAAUUGCUCUUUAGUUAAGUUGGCUAAACUUCCAAAUGAGGCAUAAACGACUGAACCUGUUUCCUUCGAGUCUAGCCACUUCAUGCAAGUCUCCACAUUAGGCUCAAAAAGGUUAAAGCCAUAGUCUAUGUCAUCCUCCAACCUUUUGUCCAAAAAACAUUGAUGGAAUUGUAGGUCCUAUAGCUUUAACCGGGAAGUUCUGGUUUGUCAUCCAUUCGAGUACCUAUUAUAUAGUGACAAAAAUAUUUAUAUAAGAUCGAUAUAUAUAUAUAUAUAUAUAUAUUUGUCAUAAUAACAAAAAAAAAUUACAAAACAUAUGCAUGCAUGUCUCCAUGUUUGACAUCAUUUUUUUGAAGUGUGUGUUGUAGGAUAAGAAGCAAGACUUAUGACUAUAAUGGGAGGGUCAAAUUUUAUUCACUAAUAAAUUUUUCUACUCAUUUUCGAUCAUCCACGCACUCAUAUGUCAAGGACAUAAUAACAUUUUUUAAUAUUAUUAAAGAAAGUUAUAAAACAAUCUUUCUUUAAUUUCUUGUCCUACAAUUUUCAUGCAGGCAUGUUGAAUAAAGCAAUAAACCUACGUAAUAAAUCUAAUGUGGAAUUACCUCAAGUUCCAGUUUUUCGAAAGUGCUAUGAAAGAUCCAUUUCACUUCGCUCAAAUUUGAGAAUUGGUUCAUGGCAAGUUUAAUGAAAAAUUUAUCUGUAUCAGAAUCCGUACUGGAAAGAAAAGAUGGUAAAUCUUCACGUUGUAGUGGUGGGAGGGAAGGCAAUUUUGUCGUCGGCUCUUCUAAAGGAAGCUUCAUUAUUCCUUUGUGAUACUGGUAACAUAUGGUCUUAACUGACGUCGGAGUUGUAUAAAAUGGACCUGCAUCUAUGCCAUUCUCUCGCGCUAUGUUCAAAGCCCAAGGCAUGCUGUAGUGGUAUACCAUGAACUUGAGCGGGUAUUGCUCAUUUGUCUCACUAUUCUUGAUGUUCUUGAUCAGCUCAUUUAGAGAUUUCUGAACUUCAAUUUGGCACCGAUCAUGAGAUUUCUCCAUAGAUUCUGACAUCCCUUGAACUUGUUCGGAGCCAUCUGAGAUAAGUUCGAUGUUCAUAUUACGUCCGAAAGAGCCUGGUUUCAUGGUUUUCCUAGCAGGGGUGGUUGAGACCAUUGUAACAAGUUGACCCUUGGCAGCUAGGCGCUUGGAGAAUUGAAGCAUUGGGUUCAUAUGACCUUGAACUGGCCAAAAGAAUACAAGGAUGUGACUUUGUUUGCCACCAAUUUUUUCUGUCAUUUUUGUAAUCCAGUAGAUAUAGCUCGUUUAUAUAGGAAGCAAUUGCAAAAAAUGAACUAUUUGAAAUGAGGGAGAUGGUCUUUGCAUGUGUUAUAUAUACUAAAGACGCUGACCUCAAAUGUGAAGUUCUUAUUUGUAGAUUGAUCUUGGCCGAUUGUUAUAAUUAGAAGAUGUUUGACUGUUUCCUCUAACAAUUUAUGUCAGUUUUACUUGUGUUCCUUAUUUGCUUAUGUGCCUUUGGCUGUUAACCAUAACAGUAAAUAGGUUUUACAAACUGAAUGGUGGAGAUGUGAAAAUAUGACCGAAAAGUGAGUCAAAUAAGGAACUUCACAAUUUAAUUUCAAAAUGAAGCUUCGCUCUGGAUAUGAACUAUAUAUAUAUAUAUAUAUAUAUAUAUAUAUAUAUAUAAGGAAUGUUUCGUACAUAUUAAAUUAGCUGGAUAUUGAACUUUUUUUUUCUUCUAAAUAUUGUUGUAAGAGAAAUAAUAUGAGAAAGGGAACUUGGGGAGAAUAGUCGAUGUAUUUCAUUCAUACAAUAAGCCUCCUUAUAAAUAGAGGGUACAACGCAUAAGGAAAUGAUAUAUUCCUAUUACAAUACCGAUACUGAAUCAUAUUUUGAUUAUACUUUGACUGACUAAGUCACACACAAUAAAUCAUAUUUCCUUAAACACUCCCCCCUGUAUCGUGUCAAACUGAUAUGAUACAUUCAAAUGCAUUUUAUGUUGCCUCAUUAAAAAUCAUGUCAAGUAAUAAUAAAACCUCAUGAGCAAAAAUAACCUUGUUCGAAAUAACAAAAAGGAUACAACGUAUCAUCCACAUUUGAAAGUAACAUGUAUAUAUGUGUCAUACUCCCUCUGAUGUCUGCACCUCCCCCUGAUUCUUACAAUCAUGGGAGCAAUAGAUAACUUAACCAUAAGCUUUGAACAUGUUUUUCAAAUGUGGUCUUAGCAAUGAUCUAGCAAAUAUAGAUAUGUCAUAUUGACCUCGAAUCUAACUUAUUUCACUUUGACCCUGAGGAGAACUCAUUAUAACUGAUUACUUAGAAGAUAUAUACUAGGUGUUUCUCAUUACAUAACUCAUAUGGAAACAACCUUAAUGUGGGUUUAAAAGGUACCCAAUAUCAGCCAGUCCUACCAAAACAUCACAAGUAUUUGGUGGAAUGAGUAGAUGCCCAAGAACUCAAAACAAGAGUUUUCAUCUAAAAUCAGAUUCACGCGUGACAUGACGUUUGUGUACUAAAUCAGCCAUAACUUCAUCUACAAAAUAUAUAUGGACGAACCAUUAAAAGGACUGGAAACUAGACAUCCGUACAUAACUUUCUAACCAUAUAUUACUCAUAAUCUGAUUCAUUCUAAGCUGAUCACAAAACUCUGCCAAAGUUGAUUGAUCCGAGCUUUGUCUUCCUCUUCCUUUUUUCAAUUUCCAUAAUGGGCGUUGACUUGCCCUAAGUGAGGUGUUGAAGCAGUGGAUCGAGAAAUAGAUCCACCAGUGCGGUGUUCCACAUUGGUGACAUUCCACACCAGCGAUGGAGCCGAACGUGGAGAGAGAGAGAGAGAGAGAGAGAGAGAGAGAGAGAGAGAGAGAGAGAGAGAGAGAGAGAGAGAGAGAGAGNNNNNNNNNNNNNNNNNNNNNNNNNNNNNNNNNNNNNNNNNNNNNNNNNNNNNNNNNNNNNNNNNNNNNNNNNNNNNNNNNNNNNNNNNNNNNNNNNNNNNNNNNNNNNNNNNNNNNNNNNNNNNNNNNNNNNNNNNNNNNNNNNNNNNNNNNNNNNNNNNNNNNNNNNNNNNNNNNNNNNNNNNNNNNNNNNNNNNNNNNNNNNNNNNNNNNNNNNNNNNNNNNNNNNNNNNNNNNNNNNNNNNNNNNNNNNNNNNNNNNNNNNNNNNNNNNNNNNNNNNNNNNNNNNNNNNNNNNNNNNNNNNNNNNNNNNNNNNNNNNNNNNNNNNNNNNNNNNNNNNNNNNNNNNNNNNNNNNNNNNNNNNNNNNNNNNNNNNNNNNNNNNNNNNNNNNNNNNNNNNNNNNNNNNNNNNNNNNNNNNNNNNNNNNNNNNNNNNNNNNNNNNNNNNNNNNNNNNNNNNNNNNNNNNNNNNNNNNNNNNNNNNNNNNNNNNNNNNNNNNNNNNNNNNNNNNNNNNNNNNNNNNNNNNNNNNNNNNNNNNNNNNNNNNNNNNNNNNNNNNNNNNNNNNNNNNNNNNNNAAGAUUUGGAGUUCGAAUAUAAUAUUACUCUUUUGAUUAUAAAUUGAAAAAUAUCAAGAAAAAAUUUCUAACCCGAUAAAAAAAAUAGAAAAUAAAAGAGAAUACGUAAAGAGAGUUGUGAAAUAGUAAAUAUAUAAUAAUUAUAUUAAAUAAUAGAUUAUUAUUAGUUUUAGAGAUAUUGAGGGUAUUUUAGAUAGUUUUAGAUGUGUAUUUAGUAUAAUAUUAAAAUGAAAAACUAGAUGGGUAGUGUAUUAAGUAAUUGAUGUGUAUUAAGAGAUUAAAAGUGUGUAUUUAAAAUUACUCAAUAUAGAUAUAGAUUCAUAAAUUAUAACUCUAAAAAUAACAAAUGUUAUUUUGUUCUCGAUCGCGAGUUGGAAUGUCGGAUGGAGGAUUUGACAGCCAAUGAACUUGGUGUCUUGCAAGUGUGUAUUGGCCGUGAAGUAAAGAUCACUUCGUCGUCAGGUACUCCCUAAGGCUAAGCUUCUAUAAACUCGAUACUGAUAGUGUCAUGUGGCAUCAAGUUGAAGAGAAGAAUUAGAAUUAAACACUGUAUUUCUAAUUUUUAACAAGCAUUUAUUUUUCAUUUUGAAUGAGGUUUGCAUGUGUUGGUGCGUAUUACAUGACAAAAAGUCAAUCAAGUAUUGAAUUCUCUACUGAUUAGGACACUAAUGCUUGAUUGCUAGACUAUUUGACCGGGCUAAGAUGUAAAAUUUAGGGUAAUUAAGUCUACUUAAUUUGCAAAACAUAUAAUAGUUGUCUGGGCUAGAUAGUGAUGUACUAUGCUCCGUCUUAAAGCACAUGCAGGACGGGGAUAUUAGGGCAGUGGCGCAGUGCCAUUGCUUUGAAAAGAAACGGGUACGUGAGUUUAUGGGUGCGAAACCGGCCGGUUGAUCAGGGGACUAAUUAACUUGAUGAAUCUCAAGGAUUGGUGCUCGGCGGCUCGGCGCGCGCGCAGUGCAGUGCGGCCGUUAGUGGAGGAGGUGCAUGCAUUUUUCCUGCUACAAACAGCGCUUUCAGUACUCUCUUCAGUUCAUUUUCGUCCCAUGCCAGCUGAUAAUGUAGAAGUAAUGUAGUAGCAAGCUCUACUGGUGCAAGUAAGGUAUUUACUUGUUUAUAGAGUCAAGGGUUUUGAUUUAACUAAUCUCUCUCUGUAGUUUAAUCAAAAUCAUUCAUCAAUCAUAAACCUCUAGAUCUGGCGCUUGGGUUGACGAACGACGUCAGUGCUAACUUGUUGCGGUCGACCAUGGAGAUUCUUGUUCUACUGUUAUACAUAGAAAAUCAGUCAAGUAUUUUUAAAUUUCCCGUCUACGAAUAUAAAAAAAUUUGAAGUCGAAACUUGCAAUUGGCUUCAUUAUAUAGCUAUAUGGGGCUUUAUGUGAAACUUCCAGCGAGUGUCAAACAUAUUUGACACCUGCAAUCCAGUUCUAUAUGUCCUUUCAAAAUAAUAAUGAUUAAUCAAUUACAUAGGAGGAUAAGUAACUUUUAUUAACGAUCACAAUCAUUACAUACAGUACCAAAUGACCUUACAAUAUUCAGAUUAAUAGAACUUUUGCCACAAAUUCUUCGAUGUUCUUAUCAGAGCUUCCCCCUUCAUCCACAGCCUCCUUAGCCAAUUCCUUCCACAUCAAUGAGGCCUUUCUAAACUUCAUCCCCUUUUCCUUGUCCAUCACCUCCUUAAUGCACACAGCUAUUUCUUCUUUUGUUGCAAGACCGGAUUUCUUAUUCACAUUAACCCUAACUCCGACCUUCCACACAUCCUCCACAAACUUCGCAUUCGUCGGUUGAUCAGCCCAGUGUGGCAACACCACCAUCGGUACCCCCAAGCUCAACGCUUCGAGAGUCGAAUUCCAUCCGCAGUGAGUAAGAAAACACCCCACUGCCUUGUGAGCCAAGACUUGUAGCUGUGCGCACCAACUCACUACGAGACCCUUCCCUGAUAUCUCCUCUACAAAAUUCUCAGGGAGUUUAUCUUGUUCUGAUUCUCGGACUACCCACAGGAAGUUGAAACUGCUAUUUCUUAGACCGCAUGCGAGUUCCUCAGUUUGCUCUAUGCUUAGGUCGGCCAAGCUUCCAAAUGAUGCAUAGACAACUGAGCCAGGUUUCUUGGAGUCUAGCCAUUUCAUGCAAGUCUCCACAUUUGGCUUGAAAAGGCUGAGACCGUAGUCUUUGUCAUCCUCCAACCGCUUGUCCAAGAACGUUGAUGGAAUUGUAGGUCCUAUCAUCUUGACCGGCCAGUCUUGACUCUCCAUCCAUUUUAGUAACUAAUGAAUCAAACACUAACACCAUUAUUCGACCAAAAAAAAAAAAAAAACAACUAACACCAUUAGAGAUUAACUAAAAGACAGGAUUCUGAUCGACAAUUAAUAGAUUUGUGUAUACCUAGGUUUGAAUCUUGUUUAGGAAACAUAAUAAAGAAAAUAACAAUAAACAAGUAACAAUAUAAAUUAACAUUUUUGAUAAAUAAGAAUUGAAUUUUAUUUUUUUAUUGUUUCCAACAUAUCUUAUCUCUAGCUACGUCCAUAAUUUUCGUGAAGAAAUAUCACCCAUAAUAUAUAUACGUAUAUUUUGUGGUCGAGUAUAUAUAUAUCUCUAUCUCCAAUAUAUAAUAAAUAUGGGAAAGGGAAAUAUAAUAAAUAUGGGUGUUUCUGGGUGAUAUAUCUUUAUCUCCAUCUCAUUUUUUGUAUGUAAUGCCGAUCCUGAUGAAACUCAAUAGGAGAUUAAUUCAUGGCUGAUAAUUUAGUAAUUGGUCGCUAAUUAUGAACUAAUUGCUUAUAUGAUGCAAUAAUGCAGGCAUGAAUAGAGUGAUCCGAUCCAUAGAUAUACACCUAUAAAUGUUGAGCGUACCUCUUUUUCCAACUUGUCAAAGCUGCUGAAGAAGAUGCAGUUUACUUUCUUCAAGUUGGAGUAUUGAUUCAUGGCAAGCUUAAGGAAAGCCGGGUAUGACUCGACAUCAGAAACAAACGUAGGUAGAUCAUUCAGCUCCAACGGUGGCAUGGACGGCAUUAUUGCCCUAGGCUCUUCUAACGGCAGCUUCAGUGUUCCUUCAUGGACAUGGUGAAACACAGUUGCAACUGCUAAUGAAGUCGUGAAAAAUGGAGCCCCAUCGAUGCCUUGUCGCCUCGCCACAUCCAAAAUCCAUGGCAUCCCCGAGUGGUACACCACAAACUUGAGAGGGUAUUGCGACGCGUCGCUGCUGUUCCUGAUCUUGGUCAUGAGGCUGGUUAAGGACUUGGUGGUUGCGAUUCGGAAACGCUCGAUGGACUCCUCUAUAGUUUCCGAACCACCCUUAACUUGUUCGGAGCCGUCUGAGAUGAACUCCAUUCUGAGGUUGGAGCCGAACGAGGUGGGAUUGAGUGUUGGUAAGGAUUUACUAGAAGAGAUGGUGGUGACUAUGGUGACCCUCUGGCCUUUGGAGACUAGCCGCUUGGCGAACUGAACCAUCGGAUUCAUGUGACCUUGAACCGGAAAAGGGAACACUAGAAUGUGGCUGCUCUGAGCAGAACCACCACCCAUUUGUUCUUCCAAAUCCAGCUUCAUGGUGCAAUAUGAGCCUAUCUAGCUAAGCUAAUUCUUAUCUGUUUUUCCUCACAGUAAGAAUGCAAUAACAAGAGGCAACUGCAUGUAUUAUGAAUGAACGAGUAGAUCUCUAGCAUGAUAUAUAAUAGAAACUGGGUUGACUGGUAGCUUGUAGUUGGAGAACCGGUUGAUACCGAUCACGAUCACAGAUUCGAUCUCACUUCACCGGAAGGCAAGUUUACAAACACUAACCGAUGAUUAACAUAUGCAUGAGCUAGCCAUUUAUUUCGUUUAUCCAAUUAUAUUUUGGAAGAAAUAAACGUUUCUGAUGAUGAGAAAUUGCAAAUUGAAAAUAUAUACCAUAUUUUUUUCCCAUUAAAUGUAAUACAUGAGGCUGGCUACUGUAUGAAUGAUUUUGCUGUCGAAUAUAUCUAACAAUUAGACAUGCAGCAAGAUGUGACAUUUCUUCUAGAAUCGCUGUAUAAAUUAAUUUUUGGUUGUACGUUCUUUCUAUAAAGUUGGUUUGUUUUAAUACAUUUUCUAAGUGUUAGGUCAUCGACACUAACGUGCUGGUGUUUUUGUUCUAGAAGAUAUGCGCAUGUCAGUUCGGUGGGAGUGAUCGACUUAUAUUUUUACUUAUCUAGUAUAAUGAAGAUGAAAGAGAGAUGUCGAUCGACACAACACACACUACAAUGUAAAUGAUAAAUGUAUAAAACAAAAUGAAUCAAAAAAAAUAAAUGAAUAAAUCUUGGUGCGUCCAGAUGUGUCGUUUGAAGCAUAUUCAUGAACAUCCAAGAUGACACCAUGCAAAUCUGUCUGUCGAGUAUCAAUCAUAUACAGCUAGGGGUCCUGAUGCCAUAAUAAUGAACGCCAUCGCGCGCAUCAACUCAAUUAAUUCUUGCGGCUACUCGAUAGUUUUCGGACCACAACUUGUUAAGUAGUGUAACUUUUGAGUCGUUGCAUGUAAAUCGAUCUGAUGAAAUGAUUGCUAAGCAGUACUACGGGAAAUCUCUCUUGUAAAUUAGGGCAGAUACUCAAGGUGUUGGUGAUGAAUAUGCAAUAGAGGAAGUUUAAUUACGUGCUCGGUGCUCCGAGUGUUUUCAUUUUUUCCCUAUUUUGAAGGUUCACAGCUGUGUUUGAAACUUUGAAUAGAUUAAUUUACUGGAAGUUGCAGCUGAUAGAUUACCUCACAGGCAGAAAAGGCAACUACGUACAAUGGAAAUUUGUGUGUAAUGGUUGCUACUUGGUGUGUUGGAAUUAUUAGCCUAUAUGAGAUAUGCACGAGUAAGUAGAGAUAUGCAUUGGACAUAUAUUCAUAGUUUAGUUGGCCGGCCUAUCUACCUAGCAGCUUGGCAUCUGUUUUCUUUUCCGGUUAUUUAUUUACUUCCGCCGGUAGUAAGUAGAGAAAUUUUCGACCCCAGAUGGUUGUUUAGCAGAGGCCAGUUCCGAAUUUCUUCAUUUCUUUUUUCCAGGUAACGUGAGUAAAAAAGAUUUCGUUGAAAUUAACCUAAAGCUGCAAUAGCAAGCCAAACUGCCAAAGAGAGGUAGAGCUGCAAUGGAGGAAAUUAACCAUGCAAGAAGAAGCUAGAAAUAAAUGGCUACUACGUACUCUACAGGAAUGUAACCAUGGAUAGUUUGGAGUUGGACAAUUAAGGUUAUGCUGAUCAUUAUGCAUUGCCGAAUGUGACUUGUGCUAAUAAUUCUGUAAUUGAUUAGGGUUUUUUUACUUUGCAUAUUAUGCAUAUGUAUGAUGUAUCAAUAGCUCAGAUCAUAAUCGAUCAUCCGAUCCAGAACUCUCGAGCUUGUAUUGUCGUGAAAAACACAGCAAGGUAGGGGUCACAAGAAUCAUCAGAACAAAACGUCUUUUUGGGUGACUCGCGCUCAAAUGAAGAAGAAAAAUGAUCAAAUAUAUUCCAAUAUGUGAAUCGGUUGCUUCACCGACUCAACUUCUGCAAUGGUACGUGAAAGGUGGUUGAUUGAGGUUGUAUUAAAGAACAAGUUACAAGUAUUACAGAUUAGAAAAAUAGCACAGGAGGAUCGGAAGAAAGAAUCAGUACGUACUUGUUGAGGUUUCAAUUUUACUAGUAUAAAGAACCCUCCUAUAUAUAUCGAUGCACUGAACCAAUUAGCAAGAGAACACGCUAAUUGUUUAACAUGAUUAGUUCAUUGUUGGACCAAAGAAAUCAAAAACUUUUUUAUUUUUUAUGUUAUUGACUCUAGCUAGCCUCAUUUUUCUUAUUAAGUAAAAACGUUAAUAAAAAAUUGGUAUUUACUAGUUUGUGACGCGAAACCAAAACUUUUCAGUUAUGUUUAAUAUCAUUUAGUCUAGUAACAUAAGUCUUUCUUUAUAAUGAGAAGUUGUGAGUUCGACUCACAACGGACGAGUUGUGGAGUUGUAUAUAUUUAAUCAAAAUUAAAGAAAAAACCCUUCUCUUAUAAAUGUGUGUGUGUAUAUAUAUAUAUAUAUAUAUAUAUAUGUGUAAACUUAUCUUACUAGCUAAACCAAAUGUGUCUGAUUCCUCGUAUGCAUGCGUUCUUUGAUAAUCAAUUGCAAAAGCAAUGAAGUGCCGUAAAGUUAUAUGUUUUUCAUCAACUAAGAUUACCUGGAAAAAAUGGAAUUGCAUCGGUUUCUUCAAUUGACAUGCAACUUCUUUUGUCACUACUAGAUAGAUUAGACGCUGCAAUAGCUAGCUUCAAAUAAAGGGGGACAAGCUACACCAGAGAUGAUAUACGAGAGGACCAGAAAGAGACACUUGAUUUGUGUGGUUUUCAAACUAACAUAGGUCUAUAUCGUAAUGGAACUUACCUCAAGAUUGCUAGCUAGCUAAUACUAUCUAUUUCCAUGGAUAAUUACUUUGUAAUGUACGAUAGUUUUGAUUACGAAUAAAAUCAUUUAGUAUUCUGCUAAAAAGAACAAAUUAAAUCAGUUCAUCUUUAUUGGAUCAUGUUUCCGUUCUAACUCUUUACUCGACCUGAUAAUUGCUUGGAAAGGAAUUUUGGAUUCAAGAGAUACUCUCAUGCAUGGAAUACGAUGGAUUAUUGGUGAUGGGCAAACAGAUUUGUUCUGGAGGUUUAAUUGGGUUCUGCCCUUCCCUCUUUGCUCCAUUCUUAGACUCAGAUACAUAAUUUACUAAUUUAGACUUGGAUUGUACUGUAAGUAACUUUAUCAAUAAUUUUUCUUGAAAUAUUCCUGCUUUGCAGUCUGUUUUACCUGUAGAUAUAGUUAACAAAAUUCUAGCUAUUCCUCUGCCUCUAACACCUAGACCAGAUCAGCUUAUUUGGGGUCAUUUCCAUUAUUGGCUCAUUUACUAUUAGAUGAGCUUCUUGGCUUCAAAUGAGUUCUAAGCCUAAACAUUCAAAUACUCUCUUUCUGAAUAAAAUUUGGAAUCUUGUUCUACCUUCUAAGGUUAAAAUUUUUGCUUGGUUAUUACUUAGAAACAGACAUAAAACUCGUGAUACCCUUUUUUGUGUACAAUCCGUCCAUACCUAGUACUUGUUCUUUCGAAUUCUGUCAUAAUUUUGUUGAUUCGGUAGACCAUUUAUUCAUGCAUUGUUCUUUUGCUAAACAAGUUUGGUCUCUGUCUUAUACCUAAUUGCAAGUGCACGAGAUUUGUUAUCUCCUUUAUUAUGAAUUUGUUUGCUAGAUUUAGCUUCUCGCCCACGCAACGCCAUUGGACUGGUCUAAAUUAAGACCAUCUUUCGUUACAAGAAGAGUACGACUGAUAUGAGCAUGUUCUAAAACUACAAAGAAAGCUUGUCGAGACAAAGGUCCGGGCCAUGCUUGGGUCCGUUGCUGCCGUCUGUUCUCGAAUCGUCGUCGCCGCCAGUGAUGCACUAGCCCCGGGACGUGCUUCCAUUCCGAGUACUACCAAGGCUGUAGAGUUUGGUUGUGCAUCAGGUUGUGUCUUUGGAGUUGAGUCAACUUCAGUCACUAGCUCCAGCCACAUGCCACCGAGACAAAGUAAGCUUCGGUCACAUGCUCUUACUGCCCCUACAACAAAACACAGGUAAUUUGUUGGUUUUUUUUUUUGGUAUGAAUGGUAUCUAUCUGACCAUCACAAAGGUUGAUCCCAAAGUGAUUUUGUCUUUACCAUGUAGACCAUUGCGAUAUCUUGGAGGUCUACGAAACAAACUGUAGUUGCUGCUUCAUCUAAUCAUGUAGAGAUUAUUUCUCUUCAUGAAGCAGUGCGUGAGUGUAUAUGGUUGAGGUCCAUAAUUACACAUCUAAAAAGUACAUGUGGUUUGAUGAGGUCAACCACCAAUGAGCUUAUGCACAUCCAUGAGGAUAAUGCGGCGUAUAUUGAACAAAUGAAGCAAGGCUACGUCAAAGGUGACAAUACCAAACAUAUAAUUGUCAGCUUGUUUACAAGUCGUUGCCUAAGUUCACAUUUGACAAACAUAUCAAAAGCAUUGGUAUGUGUAAACUUUCUAAGAUCCCAUGAUUGUCAUCAUUAAUGGAGAGGCAUGCAAACUUCAAGGGGAGUUUAGCUGCCCCAUGUUUUCAUUUACAUAUGUGAAGGUGUGUUGCAUGACCAAGGUUUGUUUUGUCUUACAGAGUUUUGUUACUUGGAAAAGUUUUAAGAAGCAAUAAGAGAACACUGAUUAGUCUGACACACACAAGAGGUAGUGUUGUAGAAUAUCGUAAUUGUGCGUGCGUGUUCAUCUUAGUAUUUAAUACGUAAUCUUAUUGCACAAGGAAUAUAAUCUAUAAUAUGCUCUAGCGCUCACGAAACUCGAGCCUCCUUGGGCUAGAACGCCGGCGUCGUUCGUUUACGGCGGCUCUCUCCAAACCUUGUCCUCGCCAUCAUCUCUCAGGAGCCAGUGUUGUGGGAUGGGAACCAUGAUGAUUAUUUUCGUUGUCUGUCCGUGGAGGCAAAGCUCUUGGUCGCCAUAGAUGAUUGAGAUCCAACCAAAGCGAAUCAAAUCGGGCGGUGGUCUCGACAAGACAACUGUAGCAGGAAAGCUUGCAGACAUGUAAGCACAAUCUUCAUGGACGGAUCCGGUCUAGACAAGGAGUUGCGAGGCCUUCCGCUCUCAAGGGAUAAGCGCACUCUCUUCAAGGUCCUCAAGGGUUGGGAUGCCAUUGAAGCUGCUGAAGGCGGCUGCAAAAACCGAGAUGCGGCAACGGCGACGUCUGGAAGCAAUACUGAACCUAAUGAGCUUGGGAUAACGUUUUUGGGCCUUAUUUUGGGCAUGGAAAUAAGUGGGCUAGCCCUCUAGGGCUUGGUUUUAUUUAAUUUUCUUUUAAAUUGUCUAUUGCAGUGUUUGUCUUACACUAGUAAUAGGCUCGCUUUAAUUAAGUGAUCAUUGGUACUGUUGAAUGAUAGGUGUAAUCUAUGUCUCGCUAUGGGUUUGAGUUCAAAUAUCAACAUGAUAUCAAGGAAUACAAUCUUUAGAAAAUGACAUCCCACUAUCAUAAAUAGUUACAAAAUACAGAAAACCCAUCUUUCAAAAGAUUUAUACAAAUAAGGACGGAAGUCCAAACCCAAAACAAUACAACAUCAAGCUUAAUCCAAAUUCUAAAUGCAUAAUGACCAUAAUACCCAAAAUUUUGACAAAAUGACAGACCAUGCCAUGCCACUAACUCUCUUCUCUCUCCCUUGAUAUGAUUCUCUCUCUCUCUCUCUCUCUCUCUCUCUCUCUCUCUCUCUCUCUCUCUCUCUCUCUCUCUCUCUCUCUCUCUCUCUCACGACCAUGUUCAACAAGACGGCCUCGCCGGCCACCGCUCCGAUCAUAUCUGUCGGCGUCGAAAUUGCAAGGAGGCGAGGAAGGGAGGAGAAGCCGAAGAAUGAAAGGAUGAAUGGUGAUCAAGGCUUCAAUGAAUCAGACCAGAUCUGAUUUGGUUCUUCUUCUUCUUCUUCUUCUUUUUCUUCUUCACCAAAUCUGUCGGCGCUGAAAUCGCAAAGAGGCGAGGAAGAGAGGAGGAGAUGAAGAAUGAAAGAAGCUUCCCCGAAUCUGACUUUAAUUCUUCUUCAAUCUCUACAACUUGGUUUACUCAAAGAGUCAUUGGAAUUAAAACUCAUAACUUUGAAUUUGACAGCAAAAAUUGAUCCUUUGUAGCUAAUUUGUGCUCCUGCUUCGCGUUGCUACUACUUGUUGGUGCUACUGCACUCUGCUAUGUGCUGCUACUGCGUACUGCUAUGUGUUGCUACUGCAUGUGAUGUUGGUGUGUGCUGCUACUACGUGUUGUUGUGUGCUACUACUGCGUGUUGUUAUGUGCUGCUACUACGUGUGUUGUUAUGUGUUGCAGUGUGUUGCUACUGCUACUGCUUGUUGUUGUGUGUUGUUACUGCCUGUGUUGUUGUUGUUGUGUGUUGUUACUGCGUGCUGCUCUGUGCUGCUACUACGUGUGUUGUUGUUGUGUGCUGCCACUGCAUGUUAUUGUUAAUGUGUGAUGCUACUGCGUGUGCUGUUGUUGUGUGUUGUUACUGCAAGUUGUUAAUUCAUGUUGCUACUACUGUGUGUGCUGUUGUUGUGUGCUGUUACUGCAAGUUGUUGAUUCAUGUUGCUGCUACUGUGUGUGUUGUUGUUGUGUGUUGCCACUACAUUUGUUAAUUCAUGUUGUUGUUGAUGUGUGUUGCUACUAUGUGUGUUGUUGAUGUGUGUUGCUAUUAUGUGUGUUGUUGAUGUGUGUUGCUAUUGCGUGUGAUGUUGUUGUGUGCUGCUACUAUAAGGUGUUGAUUCAUGUUGCUGUUGUUGUGUGUUGUUACUACCUGUUGUUGAACUUCCGUAUCAACAACAACAACAAAAAGUAGCAGUAGCAAAGCUUUCGCCCCCUCCUAUGACUUAUUCAUUGUCUUAGAAUUCAAGCAGUAGCAGUUUUAGAGGAUUGCCCAAACAUACUUGUGCUGCUACUGGGUUGUUACCCCAUGCUACUACUUCUAUUAUGAUGUUAACCCCUGCUACUACUUUUAUUGGAAUUAACUGUUACUACAUUAAGUUAUUGAAAACAUGCUACUGUAUUCCAUUUACUGAAAAAUCUCAAAAGGAGAGACUUUUCUCUUCUAAAAACAUAUUUAAUUAGUAUAGGGUUAAUUUAGUAAAUUAAACCAUGACACAUGACAUGUAGAGAAAAGAUUGUCCUUAAUUGUUAAAAACUGUCCUUAUUUGUUUAACAACAACACAAGUGGAUUUAUUUGUGUUUCAAAUCAUUUUGGAGGAUGUAUAUGUGAUUUACUAUAAAAUCUUCUACAAGAUUAUUUAAUAGAUUGUGAACAUAUUUUUGUUUCAUGAUUGCAUCAGAUUAUGUACUUGUAUUCGAAAUUUCAUAGCACAUAUUUACUAAAAUACACAACAUCACUUGCUCUUGCCUGACAACCGAUACCGUUUUCCCACAACUAGGGAUGACAAUAAUCCCCAUCGGGUAGGGUACCCACAUGUAUUCAACCCUAACAGGGAAGAUAAACGGGUAACGGGUAUGGGGAUCCCCCGUACUUGGAUUCUUGAAUUGGGUACAGGGCGGGUACGAUAUUUUGAUAUUCAUCCCCAUCCCCACCCAUUUAGGAUUGGAAAUAUUAUUAUAUAUAUAUAUAUAUAUUUUAAUAUAUAUAAUUUAUAAAUAGAUAUUUAUGUAAAAAAAAUUUCAAUAUAUAUUUUUUUUUCUGAUUCUCAUAAUGAAUAUUUAUAGAAACUUUCUUUUUAAGCGAGACUUGUAUUCGUUUUUAUUAUAUUGAAUCAAGAAAGUUAUUUAUUUUGGUAUUUGAUUCUAAUUUCAUAUUUCUAUAUUUUUUUAAUUUUUUUAAAAAUUUAAUUUAUUAAAUUAUUGUUAACGAGAAUCAGAGAGGGUAUGAGAACGUAAUUCCCAAAAGGGACGGGGAUGAAGAAUCCUCAUUAUUUAAUUACGAGGAUUGUGUGUAUGGGGAUUGUAAAUGAAAUAGGGUAUGUGUAUGGUUUUUUAAUCCCCUGACCCUACCCUCCCUAUUGUCAUCCCUACCCACAACACUAAGAUUAUUAACGGGCAAAAAUGAGCGUCCCUAUUUGAUUGACUGAUUAUAUUUGUAAGUGUCGUUUUAGGCUGGUUGGGGUCGAGAAUUGUGGGCUAAACAAGUAUAGAUAUAUGGUAUAUGGUAUUUCAAAAAGGGAAAUGAAAUCCACGCUCUUCAAAUUAUAAUCAACACUCAUGCUUUAUAUUUUUAGUAACUUAAAUUUUGUUCUAAGUGACUUAAUUUUUGUCUUUUUAUAAAAAUUAGGGUAAAAGUUAUAAAUGGUCCCCGUGGUUUGGGGUCAUGAUUAUGUUUAUCUCCGUGGUUUCAAAAUGUCUAAUGUUGGUCCUCGUGUUUUAUAUCUCGACUAAUUUUGGUCUAUUUUAAUAUUUUGUCUAACACCGUUAGUAAGGUCCUCAUAUGCCCCUCACAUAUUGGGUUAAUUUCGUCUUUUACAUAGCGCAUGUACUCUUUUUUGAGCAAGUCAAAGUUGCUGCUUCAUUAGGCACUAACACUCCCGACUUACCUAAAGGCAUGAAAGAUUUAAACAGUGGUUCUCAAGGAGGAUUGGGAUGCAAUUGCAUCCGCUGAGGAGCUUAGGGCCCUGAAAAAGGAGAGCUAGCUUCCUUAAGAUGGCCAGUAGUGAGAGGAAUGGAGAUGGUAAAAGCAAUGUUGACAAGGCUGCAGUUAGUAAAAUGAGAGGGUUGCUCAAUUCAAAUAAGGUCUUUGCCAAGCUAUUUUCAAGCAAAGGGGGACAAGACGAGAAUAAUAGCUCAGAUUCAUCUGGGAGUCUUGGUUUUGCAAAUCCUGAAGAGGCUGCUAAAUCCACCCCUUCGAGAAAUCGGAGGCAUUCGGUUUCUUAGAACACAAAAAGUAGGUUUGAAAUUUUUUGGACCCUUCUCUCCUCAUAAUAUUAGUUGUCUAAUUACUUGAGCAAAAGAGAAGCCAAAUUUGUUUGGGAGAGGGGCUUUUUGUUGCAUCUGCAGAAAAAUCCGCAGGUUGUGAGAAAGUAGUUCACAAUGAAAAAUCAGUUUGGGAGAACACCUGUAGAACCACCGUUUAAAUGCAAUUGGCGAAAUUAACCCAACAUGUGAGGAAAAUAUGAGGACUUCACUAAUAGUGUGUUAGACAAAAUAUUAAAAUAAAUUAAAAUUAGUCAAGAUAUAAAUCACGAUGAUUAAUAUUAGACAUUUUAAAACCACAAAAACAAACAUAGUUAUGACCUAAAACCACGAAGAUUAUUUAUAACUUUUAGCCUUAAAAUUAUGACUAGAAAGAAAUUGGGAGUAGACUAGAAUUUGAGAGUAGAUAAAUUUUGUGUUUAGGUCAAGGCCGGAGUGGAACUCUCUGACUGUCUGAGACCUCAGUGCAAAUGGAGACAAAGCAAAACGGAGAAGAAGAGCAGCAGAUUGUGAAUCCAUGGAAGGUGGAGGCCAAAGAAGGCGGCAAAAUCGACUACGACAAGCUCAUAGACCAGUUCGGUUGCCAGCGUAUCGAUCAAUCUCUCGUCGACCGCGUCCGCCGUCUCACCUCCCGCCCUCCCCACGUCUUCCUCCGCCGCGACGUCUUCUUCGCCCACCGGUCUGCUCUCUCUCUAAUUUCUAGGGUUUGUUUGUUUGGGAUCCUGAAUGUGUGUGAUUUGCAGGGACUUGAAUGAGAUUCUGGACGCGUAUGAGAGAGGAGACAAGUUUUAUCUCUACACUGGAAGAGGACCUUCCUCUGAGGCUUUGCAUUUGGGGCAUCUCAUCCCCUUCAUGUUCACUAAGUAAGUAAAUGCUUUCGCUGAGAUGAAUUUCAAGUCAUUGUUUGGAAUUGGAAUCGUUUGUCAGUUAUAUAUGCUUUGCUUUGGUAGUUCGAUUGUCGAUUUAUGCUCUAGGUGUUUAAAGAUGGAAGCAAAAUGAAAUUUAUCUUUUGGGAGCAUUGGAUGAGAAUGAAAUUCUACAUCUUUUGAGGGAUUACACGGAAGCUUUUGCUGGACAUUAAUAGAGCUCAACAUUGCAACUAGAAAGUAAUAGUAUGGAGCGGGAUUGGAUGAUACGCGUUGUUUGAUAUUUUGGCUGUCAAUUUUUGCUGUAGGUGUUAAGAGAUGGGUGAAAAGAGUAUUACAAGAUCUUUCAAUCUCUCUAGAGAUUUUAUGAUCCUUGGUGUCGUUUUUUCUUUUUAUUUUUAUUGGAUUUUUUUGUGGCCGGCAUGCUGUGAAGUGAAUUUGUUAGGGAGAAUUAUAGGUGAACUUACUAACCAACUAAGCUGUGUGAUUUUGUUUGCAGAUAUUUGCAGGAUGCCUUCAAGGUCCCGCUGGUUAUACAACUUACAGAUGAUGAGAAAUGUAUGUGGAAGAAUAUUAGUGUGGAGGAAAGCCAGAGGCUUGCGAGGGAAAAUGCCAAAGACAUCAUUGCCUGUGGUUUUGAUGUGACACGAACCUUUAUAUUUUCCGAUUUCGAUUAUGUCGGUGGGUAAGUAACUAUUCUUUUAACACUUGACAACAUAUUGAAAACAGUAGAUCCCAAAGUUGAGGGAAGUCUUAAAAUGAAAUCUUAUUUCUUUCAUGUUGAAAUGUCUGAGAUUAUUCUCUCAGAAUUUUACUAAACUGUGUUGUCCGAGCCUUUUUUUACUUGGCUGCCCAUACUAGGAGAAUUUGAGAUUUCGGGAUUUCUGUAAAAUCCUUUAGUUGUUGAUUAGGACAAUAUUACUGAUGUGCACAUUAAAAUACUCAGAAUGUUAAUAAGUUAAGUUGAUAAGCCUCAUGACUGUUAAACUUGGCCACUCUGCCAAUCACUUUAUCAACAACCACUAAGAUUUCGUAAAAAUUUAUUCACUGCAUUAAUCUUGGUAAGCUUCAGUAAUGACUGCAAAACCUUCUCUCGUUUUUUCUUCCCAACCUGACAGGAGUUUGAUUCACAUGAACAUUUUUGAAUAUGUGUUUGUGCACGCGUGACAUCAGUUGCUCACUGGUUUUGUAUCUAAUUUCCUGUGCAGUGCUUUCUACAAGAACAUGGUAAAGGUUGGGAAGUGCGUCACUUAUAAUAAGGUGAUUACAAUAUUAGACCCCUUGGACUGUUAUUUGCUUUUUUAACUUUUCUUCUAGUAAUAUGUAUUUUGUAUACCUUAUUGUUCGAGAUUUAGUACUCAUUUUGUGAGGUUGAAAUCUAAUAUGCAGGUGGUUGGCAUAUUUGGUUUUACUGGCGAAGAUCACAUUGGAAAAGUUAGUUUUCCACCGGUACAGGUAAUUAUCCUUGGCUACAUAUGACUGAAGCUAGUAUCAUUUGAUUUAUGAAAAAAAUUACGAGUUGUUCCUGAUUAGUUCCAGGAAACGAGUGAAGCAAAAUGUAUCGGUUUUUAUACUUAACUGAAACAUGUGCUCUGUUUUUAUGAUUGCUUUUGACUUCUUGAUUUGCUGCCAAUCAAUAAUGCUUUCACUAGUAAACAGCUUUUGUAUUUGAUAAUAGAAUAAAGAAAAAACAACUUAUGUUAGUUCAAGUCUAAGCUCCAAGAAUGUAUUUCUCUUCAACUGCUAUUUGUUGUUCAAUAUUUAUUAUGUGACUAUCUGUGUGUAAGGUAACAUGGAUCUCAAGCUUUUGUUGGCAUAAAGAGAUUCAAUAUUUUUUGUCAUGUGCCAAUGCAGGCAGUACCAUCAUUUCCAAGUUCUUUUCCACAUCUGUUCUCUGGUCAAGAUAAUCUUCGGUGCUUAAUACCCUGUGCGAUUGACCAGGUAAAAAUGUUGAGGAUAAUUCUCAUAGCUGGAAAUCAAAAGUUUAUAUUUGUAUGUAUGAUACGACCAUGAUAAAUGCGUAUGGUAAAUCCAUAAUAGCUUUAUGUUGCAAUUUCUUGUACUUUUCAUAAAACGUAUUAUGGAAGUUGCUGGAAAGCUUCUUCCUCGUAUAUUGAAAGUGAGAUUUGUAGGGGCAGUGUUUCUUUUUCUGGCUAGAUAUUUAGGCAACCAUCUAAUCUUAAAUUGCGACUCCCUUGCUAAGAUUUAAUAUGAUGGCUAUGAAUAUCAGUUUAGAUAAUUUUUCAGCUUCUGCAUUUAAGUUAUUGGGUGAAAGUUGAUUAUCUUCUUUUUUUUAUACUAAUAAGUUACCUCUUCUGUUUGUGUAUCUGUCCAGGAUCCUUAUUUUAGGAUGACCCGGGAUGUCGCUCCACGCAUCGGAUAUCACAAGCCUGCUUUAAUAGAAUCUUUAUUCUUCCCUGCCCUCCAGGUAUAUGGUGAUCUUCAGAAAUUACUGUUCUUUGAGUUGUUAGAUUUGUAUUGAUGGAGAGUAUAACUGUCUGUGUUUUACUUCACUGAAACUGCUUUUGGUCCAGAUCUAUCAACUGGCUUUUGGUCAGUUGUUAUGGUGAGGGAACUGAAUUUGAUGCUUGCAGAUUCAUUGAAAUCUUAAUGUGGAUUGUGUAGAAUCUUGUGUAUUGCGCACUCAAAAUGAACAACAAUAUACCAUUUGUUGUAUACAAAGUAAAAGGACCAUUAUCACUUAAAGAAAAGUUCAUUAUUGCAUGCAGUAUUCAUGUGAUAGUACUCAAGUAUGCGUCUUGAUGAUAAGAUUUCAUCGUAGUGUUAUGGUAGACAAAGAUGAGUAUAGCAAAUUAUGAAGGGAAACUGGUGGUAUAUAAAUUAAAGGGGACCAGUUGGGCUUCUAAUGUAAUGAGCUAACUCAUCUCAAGUCUCUCUCUCUCUUCCUCCCUCCCUCCCUCUACACAGCCCCUUAUAUUUAUAUACCUAUGUUUCCUUCCUGAGUUUUCACUGCAAAUGUGCUGUAUAUGAUAUCCUCUAAGUAUUAUUGUUCAUUUACCUCAUGUGUCUUAUUCUUUCCUGGAUGUUAUUCAGUUCAUUCAAGUAUGUUGAUUCAUACGGCUUGUGUUUAAUACCUAUUGAAGUCAUUGCUGAUUGUAUUUGUGGAAUGUGGAUUCUUACCAGGGAGAAACAGGGAAAAUGUCGGCUAGUGAUCCGAAUUCCGCCAUCUAUGUAACUGAUUCCGCAAAGGAUAUUAAGAGCAAGGUGCAUAUAUGACCUUGUCUUAUCUUUUUCUAAACAACAAUUUUGUUUACGUUAUUAGGUGGACAAAAGAUGGUGUACAACAUGCCUCUAUUCUUUCACUUCUGAAUUGUUCAAUAUUGUUAGUUUGACUGUUUGAGAAAGUUUUUCCAAAAUUUUGUGUGCUUUUGCUUUGUUGCAACACUGAUGCUGAUUAGGGCUGCAGGCUGCUUAUAUUGUUUAAGCACUUGUCAAUAUCAAUGCUCAUAUUUGGAGUAACAUGUAUGUCCAAGUUCAGAGCAGUGCAGCAACUUAGUAAAAAUACUGUAAUACUAUCAUUGAUGCAUGUCUAUAAGUGGAAUUUAAUAUACUCAACAUGGUUCUAUUUCUUUGGAUGUGUGUCCUCAUCUUCUCAAGCCAAAAUCACCUUAUCUUUUCUUAGAUUCUCCAUUGCCAAACCCUAGGCUCGUGUCUGGUGUACGUUUUCUUUGCUUCUAGGUAAAAAUAGAACAUAUAUUGGAGUCCCCUAAGUUUUACGGUGCCAAACAUGAGCUUACAAUCCAAAUGACCAAAAGCUCUUCAACAUUAGAAAAUUGAUGUACAUGCAGACAUGCUUUUUUGGCAAAUUAUAUAUCUGCUAAGAAAUUUUUAUGGAUUUCUGCAGAUAAAAAAGUUUGCUUUUUCUGGGGGGCAAGAUACAAUAGAGAAACACAGAGAGUUGGGAGCAGAUCUCGAGGUAUUGGGAUUGUCUUGCACGCUAUUAAUAUAAUUUGUCCUCAAAAUAGCUACGGGAUAUGCUAUUUGUUGCUUAAUUACAUCUUAUCAUGAAUUAGUUGGUAAUGCAUACUAACUGAGAAAUGUUUUUGUUGUAUGGACAUUAAUCAGGUAGACAUACCAUAUAAAUAUCUGAAAUUUUUUCUGGAUGAUGACAUUGAGCUCGCUCAUAUAGGAAAGGUGAGAUAGCUGACCCUUACAAACUUGAUUCAUUUUCAUCACUAUUUUUGUUUCUGCAAGGAUUUUGUAUUUAACCUUAGCAUUCUGCUUUUUUGUUUUAAUAACAUUUGCUUUUGCUUUGGGCGCUAUUAGGAGUAUGGUGCAGGUCGAAUGUUGACAGGGGAAGUGAAGCAGAGGCUCAUUCAAGUUUUGACAGAAAUUGUGGAGAGACAUCGUAGGGCUAGAGCUGCUGUCACUGAUGAGGUAAUUAAUUAUCUUCCUAUCAGCAGUUUCCAGAAUGUUGAUGAAUUUUGAAUGAUUUACCGAUCCCCCAGUUAUAGUUAUGACAUUGGGAAAUGAGAACUAAGCAUUUACGUUCAAAGAUAAGUAAUUUGAAGCGGGUAGCUGUUUCUGUACAUUCUCAUUGUGUGACAUUUCUAUGCAUUAGCGCCUACAUCAAGAUUGUUGUGAAUUAUAGCAUGUCUGAUUUCCAACUCAUUUGCAUCAUUUAGCUGUGCAAGUAAUGGGAGCAUGUGGUUCCUUUUUUUUUUUUUUUUUUUUUUUUCUGGAUAUGCUGAAAUGGUUGUGAAAUGCUGUUGAUUAUAAAUCUUGAAAUUGAAAUGAAGGAUAUCUGUUACAACUUGCAUCAUGUUUUCUUCUCUCAGAUGGUGGACGCGUUCAUGGCAGUGAGGCCUCUCCCAAAUAUGUUCAACUAAAGUUGAGGACAGUAACACUCGCAAUCCUUGGAUGAAGCACUGGCUUUGUCUGGUGAUACAAUUUCAGCCUUUAGUUAGAUAAAGAAUUUUCAUUUUUGAUGGCAUUUAUGUCAACCACUAUAUUCUUGUGAGUUAGCAAAACUGAAUGCAAGAUGAACACCAUUGUUUAAAGGCUAACAUUGUAUGACAGAUUCACAGUGAACCCCCUUCCACUGGAGUAGUUUCAAACAAGUUUGCAUGGUUACAUGUGAUAAUCACCCCAUCUGGCAAGAUCAAAUUGCACAUGAGGUUCCGCAUUUCCUAGGCCAUGUUUGAGUGAGAAUGAGACUACUGCACCCCAAAUUUAACUUCAUCUAAAUUAUCUCUGAAUUUUUCCUUUGAAAAGAUCAAAUACCAUUGGACUCUGACAAAACAGUUUAGGAUUUGAGGUCCUUUUCUGUUGGAAAUGUUUCUGAACCUUUUGUUUUUUUGCCAUUUUGGGGUUCCUACUUGCAAUUUACAAACCAUUUACAAAGUUCUAUUAUGUCUCCAAACUACAAAUAAAUCAUACAGAUGAGUAGUCUACUACAUAGUGAGCCAUUGAAUAGCUAAUACAUACCAAAACUUUCAGCUUUCAAAGUCUAGCACAUAAAAAAAGUUGGUUACAAACCACAUAGUAAUAACACAGAAACAGGGCGCAGAAAAUGGCAAUGAAUAAGGUUGGGCUGGGCAUGGGACGGGAUAAAUCUUAGGGCUGAGCGUGAGACGAGAUGGAACGGGAUUAUGCUAAUCCCACGUCCUGUCCCGUGUGCAAUGCCGUACAUUGCACACGGGACUGGGACGGGCCUUGCGUUUUGAAAUUUGAUCCCGACCAAGUCCCAUCCCGGACGGGAUCGGGACGGGACUGAUCCCAGCCAUCCCGCCCAAUUCCAAAACUGAAGAAAAAAUAUAUCCUGAUUGCCUUCUAGCCUUCUAGGUUUAAUUCAAAAACCCAAUAUGCCAAAAUCCUACCUUGUUCUACAUCAGAAACACAACUUCACCAGUACAUAACAUUUAUAAAUUCAUAUUGCAUCAUUACAUCCAUAAUAGCCAAUGCAUUACAAGUUCACACACAAGAAAGUACUGUAACAAUUUGCUUUUGCCAUACUUUCGCACCAUAUGCAGACUAUCAAUAAAAUUACCCAGAAGGAAGUAAUUUCAUCUUACCCAAUAUCAAACCUAAGAACAAUUUCUUCUUUCCCGUAACCAUAUUCUCAGAAGAAAAAAAAAAAAUCAACAGACCAAAACCAAACUGAUCUUGAUUAGUUUCUGACCAAACCCAGAUCAAAUUACUAAUCACCAACGAUCCCAAACAAGAUCACCAGACCUUGCUGUACCUUAUCGUAGCUCGCCGCUAUCAACCUCAGAACAGAGUGAGAUUUCAGACAAAAGAUUCAGAGAAAUUUAAUUCGCCGAAGAAGAUGAAGAGCCCGAACCUAUCAAAGGUCGUACUGCCAUCGUCGUCAUCUGCUUUGGCCGACACAAGUCCCGUCGACUUCUGAUCGCAGCAGCUUCAACGUUACAAGGCAGUAGCAGAGUCCCAUAUGAGGGGAAGAGCAGAAGAAGAACGAUCGAGGGUUUGAGAUUUCAAGUUCGCAUCUUCGAUUUGGGGUUUGGAUGGAUCAAUGUUAAGAGCAAUUUGCCGAUUUGGGUCUCGCAUUUUGGGAUGAAGAGUGAGAGGCUACUGUGAUUAUUCAAAUGAGAUGAGAUGAG
rnacentral:lncRNA from 1 species